rnacentral:pre_miRNA from 1 species
CUCAUGUGUAGUUGUGAGUUUUUUUUUCAAUAUUUGAUUAUCGUUUUAUUUAAAAAAAUUUAUGAUUAGUAUUUUUGCUGAUAUUAGUUAAUAAAACAUGAAUAGUACUUUAUACGUUGACUUAUUUUAAAUCUUUUAAUAUUUUUUAAAAAAUAAGAUGAACGGUCAAAUAUUGUAUAUCAAAACCUAUAACUACACUUAAA